CCCGCACAAGCAGUGGAGUAUGUGGUUUAAUUCGAAGCAACGCGAAGAACCUUACCAGGGCUUGACAUCCCUUGAAGCAGCUAGAGAUAGCUGUGUCCUUCGGGACAAGGAGACAGGUGGUGCAUGGUUGUCGUCAGCUCGUGUCGUGAGAUGUUGGGUUAAGUCCCGCAACGAGCGCAACCCCUGUGGUUAGUUGCCAGCAAGUAGCGUUGGGCACUCUAGCCAGACUGCCGGUGAUAAAUCGGAGGAAGGUGGGGACGACGUCAAAUCAUCAUGCCCUUUAUGUCCUGGGCUACACACGUACUACAAUGGCCGGUACAGACGGACGCAAAGCCGCGAGGUGGAGCAAAUCCUAAAAAGCCGGUCUCAGUUCGGAUUGCAGGCUGCAAUUCGCCUGCAUGAAGUCGGAAUCGCUAGUAAUCGCAGGUCAGCAUACUGCGGUGAAUACGUUCCCGGGCCUU
rnacentral:rRNA from 1 species